rnacentral:lncRNA from 1 species
AAUUAUAUAAGAAACGCCUUAGCCUAUGGGUUUCUUUCUGGGCUUUUAUUCCUUACCUUAUUAUUAUUAAAAGGGGAAAGAGGCAAUCAACAUAGGGGGCUAGCUUGUGGCGGCAAAGGGUCCAAAGCACAUAUAGACGGGAGCGAGUCAGAAAAUCCAAUACUUCCAUUUUCCUUCUUAUUCAUCAAUCGGGAAUCAAGACAAACC